CACCUCAUCAACCAGAAGGGAUUCCUUCCAAUCAAUGAUGUAUUUGCGCCUCAUUGACUGGAAGGAAUCCCUUCUGGUUGAUGAGGUC
rnacentral:miRNA from 1 species